rnacentral:rRNA from 1 species
AGAGACAGCAGUCGCCACGGUAAUACAGAGGGUGCGAGCGUUAAUCGGAUUUACUGGGCGUAAAGCGUGCGUAGGCGGCUUUUUAAGUCGGAUGUGAAAUCCCUGAGCUUAACUUAGGAAUUGCAUUCGAUACUGGGAAGCUAGAGUAUGGGAGAGGAUGGUAGAAUUCCAGGUGUAGCGGUGAAAUGCGUAGAGAUCUGGAGGAAUACCGAUGGCGAAGGCAGCCAUCUGGCCUAAUACUGACGCUGAGGUACGAAAGCAUGGGGAGCAAACAGGAUUAGAUACCCCCGUAGUCCCUGUCUCUUAUAC